GAUGAAGAACGCAGCGAAACGCGAUAUGUAAUGUGAAUUGCAGAAUUCAGUGAAUCAUCGAAUCUUUGAACGCACAUGGCGCCUUCCAGUAUCCUGGGAGGCAUGCCUGUCCGAGCGUCGUUUCAACCCUCGAGCCCCCGUGGCCCGGCGUUGGGGAUCUGCCCAGGCAGUCCCCGAAAACCAGUGGCGGACCCGUUACAGGCCCUUCCCUUGCGUAGUAGCAUUCGCCUCGCAUCGGGAGCCGGCGGGCUUCCAGCCUCUAAACCCCCAUCAAGUCCGCCCCGGCGGCACCAAGGUUGACCUCGGAUCAGGCAGGAAUACCCGCUGAACUUAAGCAUAUCAAUAAGCGGAGGA
rnacentral:misc_RNA from 1 species